AUGGGAGACAAUGCUGGGCUGUAAACUGUGAUCUGAAUGUGGGCUGGCUUUUCCUUUCCCCCUCGCCCGCCUCCUCUACCUGUCCGCAGAACUGCCUUAAUUCUUCACGGCAUGGAUUCAACAAGGUGGAAGAUGGCAGCCAACAAAAGUUGGGAACAAUGUGAUCACGAAGAGAUGGACACGGUCACUCAGGCUGUGGCAUUUAGUUGGUAAUAAGGAGCCCAAAAUGUGCCAAAAAAUCCCCCAUACAUUCAGUGUGACAAACACCAACAGCAAUGUCAUAUUCAAAGUCACGUCAGCCACGUUUCUUCCCCGUUCUGAUGCUCAGUUUGAACUUCAGCAGGUCUACAUGCCUAAACAGUUUGAGUUGAUUCCAUGUGAUUGGCUGAUAAGAGAUAUUUGGAUUAAUAAGCAGUAGUUGAAUAGGUGUACCUUUUUAUUAUUAUUUAUUAUAACGUGUGGAGCAAAACAAAAACAUGACAGCUGAUUUAUAAUGUGGGGUACAUUAUGUAUAAAAAUGAUGUAAAGAUGUGUGUGUUUGUGUUCUGUUUAUGGCCGGGUGUGUUGUGACAUUAAGGUUAUACCUGCAACUUGUGGUCAUGUAAAUCACUUCUGACAUUUAAAACAUUUAUCCUAAGCUCUGUAAACUGCUAUUCUCUCCAUGGAAAUGCACUCUGUAAGUUAAUUAAUCCAAAAUGAUCCCUGAGAGGGAAAUCAUCUGGGAAUUCCAGACUUUAGCCAGAUGUGUGCUCAUGGGAAAAGGAAAUAAAGUAAGUAGACAAGUAUUAGUUAUUUACGACUUGUGAAUAAAACCCUUUGAGACAGUUUGUACAAAUCCAGAUAAAAAAAACGAAGUCAUAACUCCUGUUUGAGGUAUCAGUGUUCAGUAAUAUACAUGCUCUUAUCACUCCUGUUAUUUUCUUUAUCAAGUGGAUAUAUCUUUAUCAAGUGGUAUAUCAUUUCAGUCUCUAGCCAGGGCUAACACAGAAAGACAGACAACCAGUCACACUCACCUUCACACCUAUUAGAACCACCAGUUAACUUAACCUCACUAACUGCAUGUCUUUGGACUGUGGGAGAAAGCCGGAGUACCCGGAGAGAACCCACACAGACUCAGGAGAAAAUCCAAACUCCACACAGACAGGCCCCGGCCAGAUGGUGGAUCCAAACCCCAGGACAUUCUUGCUGUGUGCGAAUGACGACGCCAUCGUGCUCUCCUCAAAAUAUAUUCUUAAUUCUGUAAAUUAAAACAUGGUCAUAGUACUGUUCUCCAAAAUACUGCAAGAAUACUACAACUUAAGAAAAAGUUAUAUUUUAAAAAAGCACUAAAACUAACUCACAAUAAUAGUAAUUUAAAUGAAAACACAUAAAUACAACUACAUUUAAAUAGUAUAAUAAAGUUCUCUGUAUAAGCUGUAAUAAAAUGUAUAAGCUGUAAUAAAGUGCAUUUUAUAUCUA